rnacentral:rRNA from 1 species
CAUUCAAAGAGUGCGUAACAGCUCACUGGUCGAGUGGACAUGCGCCGACAAUACACGGGGCUAAGCUGGACACCGAAGCGGCGGGAUUUUGAUUUUCAGAAUCGGUAGGGGAGCUUCCCAUGGGCGGAGAAGCCGGAGGGCGACCGACGGUGGAGCGCAUGGGAGUGAGAAUGCUGGCAUGAGUAGCGAGAGACGAGAGAGUAACUCGUCCGCCGUGAACCCGAGGUUUCCUGGGCAAGGCUAAUCCUCCCAGGGUCAGUCGGGGGCUAAGGCGAGGCCGGGAGGCGUAGCCGACGCGCAGCAGGCAGACAUUCCUGCACCGCGCACGCGGCGCUACGACCGACGGGGCGACGGAUGGGGGUGGCUCGGCGGGGUUCUGGACGUCCCCGUGAUGGAGCGCGGCCCGCGGACCAGGGAAAUCCGGUCCGCACGAGGGCGAGGCUCCGGACGAAGCGACUGAGCGAAGCGAGUGAGCCCGAGGUCCCUAGAAAAACCCCUAGGCAGGCGCGUGCGCGCCCGUACCGCAAACCGACACAGGUGGGUGGGUAGAACAUACCGAGGCGAUCGGGUCAACCAUGGUCAAGGAACUCGGCACAAUGGCCCCGUAACUUCGGGAGAAGGGGUGCCCGCGCGUACGUGAACGGACUUGCUCCGGGAGCGGAGGCGGGCCGCAGUGGAGAGGCCCAAGCGACUGUUUACCAAAAACACAGGACUCUGCAGAAGCCGCAAGGCGACGUAUAGGGUCUGACGCCUGCCCGGUGCCGGAAGGUCACGCGGAGGAGUUAGCCGCAAGGCGAAGCCCCGAAGCCAAGCCCCGGUAAACGGCGGCCGUAACUAUAACGGUCCUAAGGUAGCGAAAUUCCUUGUCGGGUAAGUUCCGACCUGCACGAAAGGCGCAACGACUUGGGCGCUGUCUCGACCAUGGACCCGGUGAAAUUGCACUGGUCGUGAAGAUGCGACUUACCCGCGGAAGGACGGAAAGACCCCGUGAACCUUCACUGCAGCUUGGCAUUGGCCGCUGGUCCCGCGUGUAGAGGAUAGGCAGGAGGCUAGGAUCCGGAGGCGCCAGCCCCCGGGGAGCCGCCCUUGGAAUACUGCCCUCGCGCGACCGGCGUCCUAACCCGAGGCCGUCAACCGGCUCGGGGACCGUGCCAGGCGGGCAGUUUGACUGGGGCGGUCGCCUCCUAAAGGGUAACGGAGGCGCGCGAAGGUCCGCUCGGGACGGUCGGCAACCGUCCUUUUGAAUGCAAGAGUACAAGCGGGCUUGACUGCGAGGCCCACAAGCCGAGCAGGUGCGAAAGCAGGCUCUAGUGAUCCGGCGGCCCCGAGUGGGUGGGCCGUCGCUCAACGGAUAAAAGGUACUCCGGGGAUAACAGGCUGAUCUUGCCCA